rnacentral:rRNA from 1 species
GACGAACCGUGCGAACGUUGUUCGGAAUCACUGGGCUUAAAGGGCGCGUAGGCGGUCUGCCAAGUCCGGGGUGAAAGCCCCCAGCUCAACUGGGGAAGUGCCUUGGAUACUGGCGGACUCGAGGGAGGCAGGGGUAGUGGGAACUUCCGGUGGAGCGGUGAAAUGCGUUGAUAUCGGAAGGGAACGCCGGUGGCGAAAGCGCACUACUGGUCCUCUUCUGACGCUGAGGCGCGAAAGCCAGGGGAGCAAACGGG